rnacentral:pre_miRNA from 1 species
GUGGAGAAGGCAAGAUGUUGGCAUAGCUGUUUGAUUCAAAUUCUCAGCUGUGCUCACAUAUUGCCAUUUAUGCACUUG